CACGUGCAGCCGGCCACCCGAGUCGGUCAGUGUUCAGCUUGCACGCGUGUGAGCAAGACGAAGCCGGGAAUGACAAACCGCUCAAAGACUGGUUCCUCGAGAUGGUCAAGAAAGGAAUAAUGAGACAAAAAGAACGGUACAAUUCGGUCAAGAGAACAUCAACUGUCUCGCUGUACAAGCUGCAAGAUUCUCCAUUAUGCCCCGUGUCCGCAUUAGAGAUGAUACAAGGUGUUAAACUGGACAUCCCGAUUGAUACCACUUGCUUUCAUUUUGGAAUAAAAAUGAGAUUAAUUGUGUGACUUA